rnacentral:sRNA from 1 species
AUGUACCCUCGGACACUCCGGUUCCUCCGCGCCGUCCGCACCGUCCGCACCCCACCUGACGGCUGCUCGCUACGUUUUGUUAGCC